UACUGCAUUGAAAGCGGAGCAUUAUGGCUGUAAAGUGUCGAUAUGUGUUUUUGAGGAGCCGUGUAAAUGAAACGGUUGGAUAAGCCCUUAAGCAAUACAAAUUCUUUUGUGUGUGGAAAAUAGCUGAAUGUCCAGAAUUCUAAACAUCUGAACAUAUCUCGAGAACCCGAAGAAAAUAUUGGUUAGGUCAGAGUCCGUGAAUCCUACGUACCUAACAACUUUACUAAUUUAAGUUAGUUCUUCUGUCAACACAACAUCAUCUAAAAGCGAUGAAAACGUGUUUUCUGGGGUUCUUCUCAAAGACAUAAGCAUUGCAGCUAUGGUUGAACUUCGUAGGUUAUGUAAAUACUAACCAAUAGCAUUGGCAGGAAACUUUCUUCUUCCACCUUCGGUGUAGCCGUCUUCGCAUAGUGGAUAGUUCGUCCUUGCAUAAACUGCACCUUGAAUUGAAAAAAGAAGAUGGUUACAUAAGAACACCUAUUCUGUGAAUGUCUUUCAAUCCAAUCUAGAUUAAAAACACAUAAAUUCAUCGCA